CUAGGUGUAGCUUAGUUGGUAAAGCGCCGGUCUUGGGCACCGGAGAUCGGAGGUUCGAGACCUUCCACCUAGACCA
rnacentral:tRNA from 1 species